UACGUAGGGGGCAAGCGUUGUCCGGAAUCAUUGGGCGUAAAGAGCGUGUAGGCGGCUUGGUAAGUCCGCUGUGAAAGUCCAGGGCUCAACCCUGGAAUGCCGGUGGAAACUGUCAAGCUUGAGUCCGGAAGAGGCGAGUGGAAUUCCCGGUGUAGCGGUGAAAUGCGCAGAUAUCGGGAGGAACACCAAUGGCGAAGGCAGCUCGCUGGGACGUGACUGACGCUGAGACGCGAAAGCGUGGGGAGCAAACAGG
rnacentral:rRNA from 1 species